GGGUAGCUCAGUUGGCAGAGCAACGGACUGUUAAUCCGUCGGCCGUGGGUUCGAGCCCCACCCCCGGAGCCA
rnacentral:tRNA from 1 species